rnacentral:miRNA from 1 species
GUGUCUGGGCGGACAGCUGC